CAAGUCUUCUCCUUUGUCUUGUUUUUGUUGCACAAAGAUGCCUCCUUUCUUUACUAUACCUGAUAAUGAUGAGUCAUGAGCAUUCAUAUGUUCUUCUGGGCAUAUUAAGAUGGAAAAGAGUAAUGCCAAUGUCACUAAGGGCCAGAAACAAAGAGUAUCGGUUGGGAGGCUGCGAUUUGCUUCUCUGCUCUCAGGAGUUGAUGUAGCUCUACUGGGCAUCUCUUCUCUACACAGCAUAAUCUCAAAACUGGUUGAUGCAAGUAAACGCAUUCUUCCUCUGUACAAGCUCUUCUUUGGUCUCAGUUUGCUAUGGCGCCAGUAGAACUAAAACUCAGAGAACGAGAUUAGUUGUUAUUUAUACUAGUUUCAUUGAUUUCAUAUCGUAUGGAAUAGAGAUACAAAAUCCAGACAAGAUAGUAGCUACCACAUGCUAUCCUCCAAGCUUAAACAAUUGCAUUUUCGUUCAAAGCUCAUCCAUGGCACGUAGAAUCCCUUUAGAUACUCUGAAUUCGUAGCAAAAUAUCAUCUGGAUCUUUACUCUCAAUUAUGGAUGCAAUUCUCUUCUCCUUAGGUAAAGGAUACUGCUCCUUCAAUGGAAUAGGGAUACGUCGUUUUUUGGUGGGCAACAUGGCUGUGAUUUGCUUAUUUUGAUUUUCCUCGUUGAUGUAACUCUACUGGGCGUGUCUUCUCUAUUGAGCAUACUAUUAAAACUAGUUACACAACUAAUAAUGGGAUAGGUAACUAACUGUAAUGCCCGAAAGAACAAUUGAACAAUAUCAGGCUUAUUAUAUGUCUGGACUAGAGCCUAGUUUAGAGUUACAGACGCAAAACUUAACAUUACAUUCACUGUUCUUACCUCUGUAAAUACUAAAUUUGUUUCUGCUC